rnacentral:rRNA from 1 species
UGGGGAAUAUUGGUCAAUGGGCGAAAGCCUGAACCAGCAAUGCCGCGUGAGUGAUGAAGGCCUUCGGGUUGUAAAGCUCUGUCAGUGGGAAAGAAAAAGACGGUUAACACCCGUACUUGACGGUACCCACAAAGGAAGCACCGGCUAACUCUGUGCCAGCAGCCGCGGUAAUACAGAGGGUGCAAGCGUUGUUCGGAAUUACUGGGCGUAAAGCGCGUGUAGGCGGCUUAUUAAGUCGGACGUGAAAUCC